UACGUAGGGUGCAAGCGUUGUCCGGAAUUAUUGGGCGUAAAGAGCUCGUAGGCGGUUUGUCGCGUCUGCUGUGAAAACCCGGGACUCAACUCCGGGCCUGCAUUCGAUACGGGCAGACUAGAGUUCGGUAGGGGAGACUGGAAUUCCUGGUGUAGCGGUGAAAUGCGCAGAUAUCAGGAGGAACACCAAUGGCGAAGGCAGCUCGCUGGAACGGUACUGACGCUGAGGUGCGAAAGCGUGGGGAGCAAACAGG
rnacentral:rRNA from 1 species